GAUAAGGUUAAGUGAAUAAGGGCGCACGGUGGAUGCCUUGGCACUAGGAGCCGAUGAAGGACGGGACUAACACCGAUAUGCUUUGGGGAGCUGUACGUAAGCUAUGAUCCAGAGAUUUCCGAAUGGGGGAACCCAGCAUCUUUAAUAGGAUGUUACGAUUGUGUGAAUACAUAGCACAUUCGAGGUAGACGCAGAGAACUGAAACAUCUAAGUACCUGCAGGAAGAGAAAGAAAAUUCGAUUCCCUGAGUAGCGGCGAGCGAAACGGGAAAAGCCCAAACCAGCAAGCUUGCUUGUUGGGGUUGUAGGACUCCAAUAUGGUAGUUCUUUCAGAUAGUCGAAUGACUUGGAAAAGUCAGUCAAAGAGGGUAAAAACCCCGUAGACGAAAUGUGGAAGACACCUAGGAGGAUCCUGAGUACGGCGGAACACGAGAAAUUCCGUCGG
rnacentral:rRNA from 1 species